GAGGUAGUGACAAUAAAUCACAAUGCGGAACUAUUAGUUUUGCAAUUGGAUUGAGAACAAUGUACAAAUGUUAUCGAUAAACAAUUGGAGGGCAAGUCUGGUGCCAGCAGCCGCGGUAAUUCCAGCUCCAAUAGCGUAUAUUAACGUUGUUGCAGUUAAAAAGCUCGUAGUUGAAUUGAAGUGAACUUGGGUUGAUGUGAUCUUCAGAUGACAUGAAUCAAAGUUGACUCUUUCCAAAGUCAAUACAUUGGUAUUCAUUUAUCUUUGUAUUGUGUUUGGUCAUUUACUGUGAGAAAAUUAGAGUGUUCAAAGCAGACGUUUGUUUGAAUACAUUAGCAUGGAAUAAUCAUAUAUGGCUUUCAUGUUGAUUUGAUUGGUUUGAAUAUGGAAGCAAGAUUAAAAGGGACAGUUGGGGGUAUUCAUAUUCAAUAGUCAGAGGUGAAAUUCUGGGAUUUAUGGAAGAUGAACAAGUGCGAAAGCA
rnacentral:rRNA from 1 species